UGGGGAAUUUUGCACAAUGGGGGAAACCCUGAUGCAGCGACGCCGCGUGAUUUAGAAGGCCUUCGGGUUGUAAAAAUCUUUUUUACGGGAUGAAAAUGACAGUACCGUAAGAAUAAGGUCCGGCUAAAUACGUGCCAGCAGCCGCGGUAAUACGUAUGGACCGAGCGUUGUCCGGAAUCAUUGGGCGUAAAGGGUAGGUAGGCGGCCUAGUAAGUUAGAAGUGAAAUAAUAUAGCUCAACUAUAUAAAGCUUUUAAAACUGCUAGGCUUGAGAGAUGGAAGGGAAAGUGGAAUUCCUAGUGUAGCGGUGAAAUGCGCAGAUAUUAGGAAGAAUACCGGUGGCGAAGGCGACUUUCUGGUCAUCAUCUGACGCUGAGGUACGAAAGCGUGGGUAGCAAACAGG
rnacentral:rRNA from 1 species